UACAGAGGUGGCAAGCGUUGUUCGGAAUUACUGGGCGUAAAGGGCGCGUAGGCGGUCCGAUAAGUCCCGUGUGAAAUCCCUCGGCUCAACUGAGGAAUGGCACGGGAAACUGCCGGGCUUGAGUUCGGGAGAGGGAAGCGGAAUUCCGGGUGUAGCGGUGAAAUGCGUAGAUAUCCGGAGGAACACCGGUGGCGAAGGCGGCUUCCUGGACCGACACUGACGCUGAGGCGCGAAAGCUAGGGGAGCAAACGGG
rnacentral:rRNA from 1 species